rnacentral:rRNA from 1 species
CGGACGGGUGAGUAAUGCUUGGGAAUCUGGCUUAUGGAGGGGGAUAACUACGGGAAACUGUAGCUAAUACCGCGUAGUAUCGGGAGAUGAAAGACUGGGACCGCAAGGCCAGUUGCCAUAAGAUGAGCCCAAGUGGGAUUAGGUAGUUGGUGGGGUAAAGGCCUACCAAGCCGACGAUCUCUAGCUGGUCUGAGAGGAUGACCAGCCACACUGGAACUGAGACACGGUCCAGACUCCUACGGGAGGCAGCAGUGGGGAAUAUUGCACAAUGGGGGGAACCCUGAUGCAGCCAUGCCGCGUGAAUGAAGAAGGCCCUCGGGUUGUAAAGUUCUUUCGGUGAUGAGGAAGGUGUUUGUUUUAAUAGAACAAGCAAUUGACGUUAGUCACAGAAGAAGCACCGGCUAACUCCGUGCCAGCAGCCGCGGUAAUACGGAGGGUGCGAGCGUUAAUCGGAAUGACUGGGCGUAAAGGGCACGCAGGCGGUGACUUAAGUGAGAUGUGAAAGCCCCGAGCUUAACUUGGGAAUUGCAUUUCAUACUGGGUCGCUAGAGUAUUUUAGGGAGGGGUAGAAUUCCACGUGUAGCGGUGAAAUGCGUAGAGAUGUGGAGGAAUACCGAAGGCGAAGGCAGCCCCUUGGGAAUAUACUGACGCUCAUGUGCGAAAGCGUGGGGAGCAAACAGGAUUAGAUACCCUGGUAGUCCACGCUGUAAACGCUGUCGAUUUGGGGAUUGGGCUUUAUGUUUGGUGCCCGUAGCUAACGUGAUAAAUCGACCGCCUGGGGAGUACGGCCGCAAGGUUAAAACUCAAAUGAAUUGACGGGGGCC